rnacentral:rRNA from 1 species
GACGAACGCUGGCGGCGUGCUUAACACAUGCAAGUCGAACGGAAAGGCCCUGCUUGCAGGGUGCUCGAGUGGCGAACGGGUGAGUAACACGUGGGUGAUCUGCCCCUUACUUUGGGAUAAGCCUGGGAAACUGGGUCUAAUACUGGAUAGGACCAUGCUGUAGGUGGUGUGGUGGAAAGAUUAGUUUCGGUAAGGGAUGAGCUCGCGGCCUAUCAGCUUGUUGGUGGGGUAAUGGCCUACCAAGGCGUCGACGGGUAGCCGGCCUGAGAGGGUGGACGGCCACAUGGGGACUGAGAUACGGCCCAGACUCCUACGGGAGGCAGCAGUGGGGAAUAUUGCACAAUGGGCGCAAGCCUGAUGCAGCGACGCCGCGUGGGGGAUGACGGCCUUCGGGUUGUAAACUCCUUUCAGCCAUGACGAAGCCCUUGUGGUGACGGUAGUGGUAGAAGAAGCACCGGCUAACUACGUG